rnacentral:rRNA from 1 species
UACGUAGGGUGCGAGCGUUGUCCGGAAUUAUUGGGCGUAAAGGGCUCGUAGGCGGUCUGUCGCGUCGGUAGUGAAAACUCAGGGCUUAACCCUGAGCCUGCUUCCGAUACGGGCAGACUAGAGGUAUGCAGGGGAGAAUGGAAUUCCUGGUGUAGCGGUGAAAUGCGCAGAUAUCAGGAGGAACACCAGUGGCGAAGGCGGUUCUCUGGGCAUUACCUGACGCUGAGGAGCGAAAGCGUGGGGAGCGAACAGG